UUUUUUUUUUUUUUUUCUUUCGUUUUUUUUUUGGUAAGAGUUUAUGAGGUAGUGGAUUGGGUUGGCCCUGCGAAGAACUGAUCGGAGGAGAAAGUUAGAUUUUUUGUGAAUUCUAUUCUUUCGUAGAUUCGUGUUCCAGUAUUCUCUGGCCAGGAUGUAUAAGGCUACGGGAGGAAUUUGGUGUGUGUGUUGAUUGUGAUAGAGCGAGAGAGGUUGCGAUCUGGGAGUGGAUGAUUUCAAUGCUCAAUGGUUGCUAUUGGGACCCAUUUCCCUGGAGAAUGUAGGAUCCUGUGGCGAAUUUUCGUUUGGGCACCCGUCAUAACCUCUUUGUGCUAACGCACAAGGUCGUUUGAUUUAAGCCUGGAGAGUUGGGUUUCUUUACUUCAUCGUGUUUGUAUCCCUUGCUAAGAUCCAGCUGCUGUAACACUAGCAACAGCGGUUCAAUCAAUCACUUUCGCGUUCAGGAAGGCUCAACCACCCCCGUCAGACUGUUGAUCUUCUGUAAGUUACAAUUAGCUCUAGAUGUAAGGUGUGUGUUCGUCUGCCGGCUGGAUUCUCAAAUUCCCUCUGUGGAAUGCAGUCACGAGAGCUGGACGUUAUGAUGUUUGCAUCGGUGGGAGUUUCGUGCAUUGGGACUGCCUGCAAGAAGGGCAGGUGGGAAUGCAAGUGGACGCCUGGAAGUCGGAAUGACGAUAUUUUUUAGCAAGAAGCAAAACAUAUUGGGGAUCGUUCAUCUGCAGGUGCUUUGAACGGCUCAUCAUCGUUGAAAGUACUCUGGCCGUUCCAGAUUCCUGUGCAGACGAAUUCAAGAUGGCGACGUUGUUCGCCCUUUUGAAUAGCCGAAAUCGGUCGAAGAGGAUUGAAGCGAGCAAGCCUGUCUUAGAGACUUACCAUGAAUCUUUUUUGUACGGCAAAGUGGACCUAACUGUCAGAGUCCGAGGAGCAAUUCGCUCUGGCUGGAUAGGCUUCAUAUGGCACUUGCUGGAGUUUUUCCUAGCUACUGCUUCAGGUGUUUUGUACGUCUAUUCCACGUACAAAGACUAUACUAAAUACAAUUGGGCUAGCGUAGCCCAGAACUACAUAAGUCUUUUUUUCGCCAUUGACUACGCACUGCGAGUGUACAGUGAAUCGGCGCGUUGGUGUUAUGUAUUUUCUCUCCGGGGUCUGAUCGACAUACUCAGUGCAGUCCCCGUCGUGUAUUUUAUUAGGUCCGUGGAAACUAAUGGAAGGUUUCUUCGGUUGCUGCAGUUUUUACGUAUUGUAAGGAUAAUAUCGCUGGUAAACAAAAUAGGAGUUUUCGGAAGUACUAUCUUACAACAGGUCCUCGUACUGAUUACUUCAACAUUUGGAGCUGUAUUUUUAAUUGCGGGUCUGAUACAUUAUGUGGAAUACCACGGAGCACCGCAAAGUCGGCAAGCCGAGUGCCCUGAAGAGGGAUGCAUCAAUUUUUGGGAUGCAUUUUACUUCGUUAUUGUCACUAUAUCUACAGUUGGAUAUGGGGAUAUAACUCCAGAAACGGCACUUGGACGACUAGUGGCCAUUUUAACAAUAAUCGGAGCCUUGGUCAUUCUUCCAAUUCAGAUUGGACGUAUUACUUUUCUUGCUUCUCGAAGACCGUAUGGAGGAUCUUUCGACUCAAAGAAGAUCCUCGAAUCACGGUUUUUAGUCAUCACUGGAAGUUUCACAUUCCAAGAACUCCAAGAAUAUCUGGCAGAAUUCUACAAUCCUACUCAUUGUGAAGAUUUGGAGAUAUAUCCACUACGAGUGAACAUCUUGGCACCUUUCUCGCCCUCGUUCGAGCUGAAGCAAUUACUGUCUCUUUAUAAUGGACUUGUGGAGUUUAUCGAGGGAUCUCCUAUUCGACAAUCAGACUUAGCUAGAGUGUGCGCGGAACGUGCCUCCGCCAUUUUUCUUCUGGCUAAAAAUGAUGCUAAGGAUCGCGGUGUAGAGGAUGCAGCGCAGAUCGUGAAAGCACUUGCAAUUCAGCGGUAUUGCAACGACCACGUUCGCAUAAUUGUGGAAGUGUUGGAGCCAGCGACCCAAGCAAGUGCUGUGUGGGAUUUGACAGAUAAUCGAGGAAUUGAGGUUAUCUGCCCAAUAAAAUUCCACUACAGGAUGAUCGCUCGCAGUUGCUUUGUGAAAGGGUUGUACACGCUCAUAACAAACAUGUUCACUUCCGAGAUCAAGAUGAAAACCUUGCCUCGGAAUUCAUUUUUGUCAGAAUAUUUUAGCAGUUUUGAUAAUGAGGUGUACCCUCUCAUCUUCCCAAAAGCUUGUCAUGGCAUGCUCUACGAAGAGGUGGUGGAGUUUAUCUUUGAGAAUUUCAAUGCUGUACUUUUCGCUCUUGAUGUGAAUGUGAUUGACCCAGAAAAAGAGCAACCCGCCCGUAAGGUUUUUCUUCAUCCGAAGGGACGUGUCAUUAUUGCGGACGACGUGGGUUUACUCCUAUGCCCGGAUUUGGGCACUGUUUUUGAUGUGUCGGGAUUCGAUGACAAAAAAUCGAAGGGGAAGAAAUGGAUUCCAAGGAAGAAACGGAACUUUUCCUCAGUACAGCUGCAAAAUUAUCGGACAGGACCUGUUGUAGAUGAAGUUGAGCAGAGCCGCGCCACUGACCCCAUAUCCUACACUGCAGUUGAUUCAGAGUCUUUAGAAUCACGAAUGAAGACGGAAAUAUUUAGCUGGUAUGAAAGUGACGAAAGCAGACACGGCUCCAGUCAUGGACGCAAGCAUGGAAAUGACGGAAGCCGACAAGGCACCAAUCGAGGAAGCAAGCAUGGAAAUGGAGGCAGACAUGGCACUGAUCGAGAAAGCAAGCAUGCUAUUGAGGAUAGUAUUGAAGCAGGUUACGGGAGCAAGUUUUCAAAUGGGACGCGUGAUGUUUCAAGACGCCAUGACUCUGUUUCGUUAUCUGACAGUGAUUCUGAAGACGAAGGACUUUAUCCUCGUGGAGUGUCAUUAGAGAAAGCCACAGAUUUGCUGUUAGCGUGGCCACCGAUAGGACCAAACCAAGUGCAGCCUCAUGCAUCAGUGUUGGAGAGACGGCAAGACGUCAUCUUGGAGAAUCUCCAAGCACGGACUGUUGGGGUGGUCUCUCUAAAUGCACCCCACAUUUUGGUGUGUUGCCAGAAUGAUUGGCCCCAGGAAAUGUUUUACUUAGUGAAAGAAUUGCGAAAGCCCGACAUGCCAAAACCACCCAUCGUCAUUUUGUACCCGGACCGGCCCAGCGCCAUAGAAUGGGGCAAGGUGGGCAUUUUUGAAGAUGUUUUCUUUUGUAAAGGGUCUCCUAUGUACGAGCUUGACCUUAUGCGAGGAGGCGUUCUGCACGCAGAGAGGGUGGUGAUUCUUGGCUGUCACGAUACACUGGUGGAUCUAAGCGUAAAAGGCGUAGAGGACUUGGCACACCGCAGAGUUCCAUCAGCACAAAGAAGCGAUGUGGACAACAUUGUGAUCGCAGCAAAUGUGGACAGGCUUGUGGGAGUGGAUGCGGGAGUGAUGAUCAUCGACAUGCAGCACACUUUCGCACUACAUUACCUGCGGCCCAAGUUCGAGGUUCAGAAGGAGCAUGUGAAGAAGGUAGAUUAUCGUCGCAACCCGGAGGCUCUGGUGCACUUCGGGCCUCCAUUCAUGGAGGGCAAGGCAGUCUCUCCUGCGUUAAUGGGGUUCCUUCUACGAUCGUCAUUCUACAACAAGAACACGCUGUCCAUCGUGGAGCAGCUGAUCGGGGGCGGCCACACGCUCCGCGAGGGCACCAUGGGCAACAAAACCCUGCGCAUCCUGAACUUGGUCCCCGUGGCCCAGCACAGUGUCGGUAAACCAUACGGCGACCUGUUUGUGAGCUUGCUGCACGACAAAGGCGCGCUGGCGCUGGGCUUGUAUCGGGCUCCAGGGACAUUGGGGGCACCGGCUGGCUACGUAUUCACCAACCCCCCCAAGCACUGUCUCGUUUCGGAGGGCGACCAGGUCUACAUCAUUGUCUAGCCCCACCGACACUUCCCCGUCCUACCGACACCACUCCUGCUCCUCCUUCAGCCUCUUGGAUUCUGAAUAACGUGUGAAGCAAGAAGGCCAUCAUCACCAUUCGAACUAGAUAUACAUCUAAUUCUCAUGAUUUUUUUGUAAAGAUAUAUGUUUUCAAUGCUUUUGUAAUAAAAAAAAAAAAAAAAAAAAAAAAAAAGUCGUAAGUUCAUUCAACACAAGAGUUCCCUCUUUGUCUCGGCAGGAUGUUUUUAGUCUUUAUUUUUUUUUAGUUUUGCGCACUCUGAUUUUCCAACAUUCUUAGACAUUCUAUUUGCAUUUGCCUUUCAUAUUCUACACGUUUUGUGUACUUCUGAUUUUUGUAAAAUUUGGUUAAGAAUUUUAA